rnacentral:rRNA from 1 species
AAAAGUGAAAGUUAGUUAAUAAAGUAUUAUGGGUAAGUAAGGUGAGUGAAUAAAAUUUAGAAAAGUUAUAGUACUGUGAAGGAAAAAUGGAGGAUGAGGGAAGAGAGUUAAUUAGGAAUAGUUACCUUUGGUAUAAGGGAUUAUUAAGUGAGGAGAUGAAGAUGUUGGGGUCCCGAAGGAAAAUUGAGCUAUAUUGUAGAUUAGGAUAAUGUAACAUAAUUAUGGAAAAGUAUAAUAUAGGAGUGAGAUGCUAAACGAAAGUUUUGUUAUCUGGUUUUUUAAAAAAUAAUUAGAGAUUAGUAUAUAAAUAUAAAUGGAUUAUGAUGUUAUUUUAGGAGGGAUAAGCUUUUUAAAAGGGUACUAGAUGGAAGAUGGGAUGAGCAAAGAAGGCUUAAGAUUAGUUAGAUUUUGUUAUAAAAAAGUAAAUAAGUAAAAAAAUAGUGUAAAAGGGUUAUUUAGAUAAUAUAGGGAGUUAAGAAUUAUAUGAGAUUAUGAUUAAUAUGAGUAGUUGGGUGAUAAAAAUGUUAGAAGAAAAUGGAAGAAGAGGGUUGGAUUAAGAGUGUUAAUUAAUAUUUAUUAGAAGAAUUAGGCAAAAGUUUUCUCCCGCCUGUUUAUCAAAAACAUGGUUUUUUGAGAAUGAUGAAAAAUCUAACCUGCUCAAUGAUAAUAAAUGGCCGCAGUAUGUUGACUGUGCUAAGGUAGCAUAAUAAUUAGCUUUAUAAUUGAAGGCUGGAAUGAAUGGUUGGACGAGGGGAUAGCUGUUUUUAGUAAAAAAAAAUGAAAUUGGAGUUAAUGUGAAAAUACAUUAUUUUUCUUAAGGGACGAGAAGACCCUGUUGAGUUUUAUAGGUUAUAAUUGUAGGUUAAUUAUGAUUUAUUUUACUGGGGCGGUAUUGAUAGAGAUGAAUCUAUUGAGGAGAUUAGAGGAAGAAUAACUAGGAUCCAUGAAGGAAGCAGACAUGAAAGAUGGAUUAAAUUACUGCAGGGAUAACAGCAUAAUAUUAUCAGAGAGUUCAUAUUGAUGAUAGAUUUUGUGACCUCGAUGUUGAAUUAAGUUUUCUUUUGGGCGUAGGGGCUUAUAGGAGUUAGUCUGUUCGACUAUUAAAAAUUUACAUGAUUUGAGUUCAGAUCGGCGUGAGCCAGAUCGGUUUCUAUCUUUAGGAAAGAAAUAAUCAUAUGAUAGUACGAAAGGACUUCAUAUGAGUUUGUGAU